UACGAAGGGGGCUAGCGUUGCUCGGAAUCACUGGGCGUAAAGGGUGCGUAGGCGGGUUUUUAAGUCAGGGGUGAAAUCCUGGAGCUCAACUCCAGAACUGCCUUUGAUACUGAAGAUCUUGAGUCCGGGAGAGGUGAGUGGAACUGCGAGUGUAGAGGUGAAAUUCGUAGAUAUUCGCAAGAACACCAGUGGCGAAGGCGGACUCACUG
rnacentral:rRNA from 1 species